rnacentral:rRNA from 1 species
UGGGGAAUCUUCCGCAAUGGACGAAAGUCUGACGGAGCAACGCCGCGUGAGUGAAGAAGGUUUUCGGAUCGUAAACUCUGUCUUUUGGGGCGAACGUGAGUAUGGUGAACAAUCAUAGUCAGUGACGGUACCAAAGGAGGAAGCCACGGCUAACUACGUGCCAGCAGCCGCGGUAAUACGUAGGUGGCAAGCGUUGUCCGGAAUUAUUGGGCGUAAAGAGCGCGUAGGCGGGAUAGUCAGUCUGUUGUAAAAGUGCGGGGCUCAACCCCGUGAUGGCAAUGGAAACAGCUAUUCUUGAGUGCAGGAGAGGAAAGUGGAAUUCCCAGUGUAGCGGUGAAAUGCGUAGAUAUUGGGAGGAACACCAGUGGCGAAGGCGACUUUCUGGACUGUGUCUGACGCUGAGGCGCGAAAAGCCAGGGGGAGCGAACGGGAUUAGAUACCCCCGGUAGUCCUGGCCGUAAACGAUGGGUACUAGGUGUGGGGGGUAUCGACCCCUUCCGUGCCGGAGUUAACGCAAUAAGUACCCCCGCCUGGGGGAGUACGG